UGGGGAAUAUUGCACAAUGGGCGCAAGCCUGAUGCAGCGACGCCGCGUGAGGGAUGACGGCCUUCGGGUUGUAAACCUCUGUUAGCAGGGAAGAAGAGAAAUUGACGGUACCUGCAGAGAAAGCGCCGGCUAACUACGUGCCAGCAGCCGCGGUAAUACGUAGGGCGCGAGCGUUGUCCGGAAUUAUUGGGCGUAAAGAGCUUGUAGGCGGUUUGUCGCGUCUGCUGUGAAAGGCCGGGGCUUAACCCCGUGUAUUGCAGUGGGUACGGGCAGACUAGAGUGCAGUAGGGGAGACUGGAACUCCUGGUGUAGCGGUGGAAUGCGCAGAUAUCAGGAAGAACACCGAUGGCGAAGGCAGGUCUCUGGGCUGUAACUGACGCUGAGAAGCAAAAGCAUGGGGAGCGAACAGGAUUAGAUACCCUGGUAGUCCAUGCCGUAAACGUUGGGCACUAGGUGUGGGGGACAUUCCACGUUUUCCGCGCCGUAGCUAACGCAUUAAGUGCCCCGCCUGGGGAGUACGGCCGCAAGGCUA
rnacentral:rRNA from 1 species